rnacentral:tRNA from 1 species
GCUGGGUUAGCAUAAAAGUAAUGCAAUUGUUUUGUAAUCGAUGGAAGCAAGUGCAGUACUUGCACCUGGCU